rnacentral:rRNA from 1 species
UCCUCCCUCUGGCGGCGUGCUUAACACAUGCAAGUCGAACGGAAAGGCCCUGCUUUUGUGGGGUGCUCGAGUGGCGAACGGGUGAGUAACACGUGAGUAACCUGCCCUUGACUUUGGGAUAACUUCAGGAAACUGGGGCUAAUACCGGAUAGGAGCUCCUGCUGCAUGGUGGGGGUUGGAAAGUUUCGGCGGUUGGGGAUGGACUCGCGGCUUAUCAGCUUGUUGGUGGGGUAGUGGCUUACCAAGGCUUUGACGGGUAGCCGGCCUGAGAGGGUGACCGGGGACAUUGGGACUGAGAUACGGCCCAGACUCCUACGGGAGGCAGCAGUGGGGAAUAUUGCACAAUGGGCGGAAGCCUGAGGAAGCAACGCCGCGUGCGGGAUGACGGCCUUCGGGUUGUAAACCGCUUUCGCCUGUGACGAAGCGUGAGUGACGGUAAUGGGUAAAGAAGCACCGGCUAACUACGUG